rnacentral:rRNA from 1 species
GACGAACGCUGGCGGCGUGCUUAACACAUGCAAGUCGAACGGAAAGGCCCUGCUUUUGUGGGGUGCUCGAUUGGCGAACGGGUGAGUAACACGUGAGUAACCUGCCCUUGACUUUGGGAUAACUUCAGGAAACUGGGGCUAAUACCGGAUAGGAGCUCCUGCUGCAUGGUGGGGGUUGGAAAGUUUCGGCGGUGGGGGAUGGACUCGCGGCUUAUCAGCUUGUUGGUGGGGUAGUGGCUUACCAAGGCUUUGACGGGUAGCCGGCCUGAGAGGGUGAACGGCCACAUUGGGCCUGAGAUACGGACCAGACGCGUACGGGAGGCAGCAGUGGGGAGUAUUGCACAAUGGGCGGAAGCCUGAUGCAGCAACGCUGCGUGCGGGAUGCCGGCCUUCGGGUGGUGAACCGCUGUCGAAUGUGACGAAGAGUGAGUGACGGUAAUGGGUAAGGAAGCACCGGCUAACUACGUG